rnacentral:rRNA from 1 species
CCUACGGCGGGCAGCAGUGGGGGAUAUUGCACAAUGGGGGGAACCCUGAUGCAGCGACGCCGCGUGAGCGAAGAAGUACCUCGGUAUGUAAAGCUCUAUCAGCAGGGAAGAAAAUGACGGUACCUGACUAAGAAGCCCCGGCUAAAUACGUGCCAGCAGCCGCGGUAAUACGUAGGGGGCAAGCGUUAUCCGGAUUUACUGGGUGUAAAGGGAGCGCAGGCGGCCUGCCAAGUCUGGUGUGAAAACCCGGGGCGCAACCCCGGGCCUGCAUUGGAAACUGGCGGGCUGGAGUGUCGGAGGGGCAGGCGGAAUUCCUAGUGUAGCGGUGAAAUGCGUAGAUAUUAGGAGGAACACCGGUGGCGAAGGCGGCCUGCUGGACGAUGACUGACGCUGAGGCUCGAAAGCGUGGGGAGCAAACAGGAUUAGAUACCCCUGUAGUC